UGCUUUUUCUGCAAAGUUGUC
ensembl:piRNA 21ur-6529 ncRNA